AAACAAAGUAGCUGAGUCAGACAUGUCGCAACACACAGAUGUUCUACAGCCACCUCACUGAAAUAUAUAUUUUAAAGGUCUGGUAUGUAUUUCCAGCCUUGCUGAUCAAGUUACUGUCACGGAAUCUUUGUUUACAAACAUGCAAGCAACAAACGGCAGGCCUCCAGACACUCCGGAAACCGAAUGGAAUACAAUGUUCCCUUAGCGGCAGUCACGAGAUCUGGGGGUUCCAACCCAGUUUCCCAGGAAAAGAAAACAAAGAGCGAAACCAGACCACGGAAAUCAAAAAGUCCUAGUGGUGGCGUGGUGACUUGUCUCAAUCCGGGUGGUGGAGGAUGAAUCUCAAUUGCCUCCACGUCUGAGACCUUCAAUCUGUGCAUCUUAUCAAGUGGCUUGUUGAGCGCAUUACCGGGGAGACCUAGCGCGUAUGGAGGCUUCAUGCUAUUCUACGCGGCAUCCACGCACAACUCACCACAUAGCGAGAACCACAUUAUAGCGACCACGAGGAGGUUACCCCAACGUGACUCUACCCACCCUAGCAACCGGGCCAAUUGGUGUCACUCAGCACGCCCUGGAUUCGAACUUGCGACUCCAGGUAACCAGAAACCAAGCUGUAAACUGAAGAGAAUGGGAAAAGCUUCCAAAGAAGUUUUUUUACACCGCACUCUCUAGGCUUUCUUCAAAACUUGAAUGUUGCAAUAGAGUGGGCCCUGUUUCUCACAGUUGAUUUGGAGAUACUGCCUUAGUGGGAGCAUACAUGCAGAAACGAAUUGAUCCAGAAUUCACUGGAGGGCACUUCUCAGUAUUUGACAAAACUUCUAAACACAUGAUUGUUACUGGAAUUGUUUUUACAAAAUUACAUAAUCUAGACCAAUGUGUGGAAGUAAUCAUUUUUAUGGGCAAAACAUAUGGCAGUCCCUUUGCCUAUAAAAUACUUGCCUAUACUAUACUAUACACAAUACAAUACCAUUCAAACUAUACUUUCUUGUUCUGAAAAUUGUAGCAUAUACAAAUCAGGGGGUGUUACAGCAUGAUAAAAUGAACACUGCAAGAUAUAUUAACGUUAAAAUAAAAACACUGAAGAGAUUCAUAGAGUAAACAAUUUAUUAUAAAAAAUGUAGUACACUGUAAAGUUUUAAGGAAGUAUUAAGGGCAUUCAGAGACAUGCGUUCAGAACAUAAUAUAAAUAGAGGUGAUUGUACAAGUUUUAAAUACAACAGGACGAAUUCCCAUCUGAUUUACCCGCUUAAGUGUAUUCAUAGGGGAAAUCAUGAAUCUUGACCACAGCUAAACAGAGAAAGAGCUCCAUAAUAUAUAGACUUAAUCACAAUGUAAAAAUGUGCCUUUUGGAAUGAGAAAACAAUACCCCCAUUUGCCUUUUAAAGAGUUUGUUUGUGAUUUUAAGACUGUCUGCAAGGGAAAAGGUGGAAGGUUUGGGGGACAGACCUGUCUCAAAAUAUCACAUGGGACAGUUCAAAGUUCUUAGUAAUUUUUCAAACAUUAAAAGAGACGAAACUGCAGCUGUCUGGGAAGCAAGGAAAGCAAAUGAGUCAAUAGUUUGUGUUUAUAUACAGGUGCAUCUCAAUAAAUUAGAAUGUCAUGGAAAAGUUCAUUUAUUUCAG